rnacentral:rRNA from 1 species
UACGUAGGGGGCAAGCGUUGUCCGGAUUUAUUGGGCGUAAAGCGCUCGCAGGUGGUCCAAUGCGUCGUGCGUGAAAGACCCCGGCUCAACUGGGGGGCGUCGUGCGAUACGGUCGGACUGGAGGCCAGUAGGGGGAUGCGGAAUUCCGGGUGUAGUGGUGGAAUGCGUAGAGAUCGGCAGGAACACCCAGGGGGAAACCAGUGGACUGGGCAGGAGCUGACGCUCAGGUGCGAAAGCGUGGGGAGCGAACCGG